ACUCCUACGGGAGGCAGCAGUAGGGAAUUUUCCGCAAUGGACGAAAGUCUGACGGAGCAAUGCCGCGUGAGUGAUGAAGGUUUUCGAAUCGUAAAGCUCUGUUGUAAGGGAAGAAUAGCAAGAAUAGGAAAUGAUUCUUGUCUGACGUUACCUACAGAAGAAGCACCGGCUAACUCCGUGCCAGCAGCCGCGGUAAUACGGAGGGUGCGAGCGUUAAUCGGAAUUACUGGGCGUAAAGCGCAUGCAGGCGGCCUGUUAAGUCAGAUGUGAAAGCCCGGGGCUUAACCUCGGAAUUGCAUUUGAAACUGGCAGGCUAGAGUCUUGUAGAGGGGGGUGAGAAUUAUCAGGUGUAGCGGUGAAAUGCGUAGAGAUCUGAAGGAAUACCAGUGGCGAAGGCGGCCCCCUCGGAGC
rnacentral:rRNA from 1 species